ACUAUGGAGAGUUUGAUCCUGGCUCAGGAUGAACGCUAGCGGCAGGCCUAAUACAUGCAAGCCGGACGGCAAGUUGAGUAGCAAUACUUGACCUAGAGUGGCGUAAGGGUGCGUAACACGUAUGCAAUCUGCCCACAGCCGGGGUAUAGCCCUCCGAAAGGAGGAUUAACACCCCAUAGGAAGAUGAGAUGGCAUCAUUUUAUUUUUAAACCACGGGGCUGUGGAUGAGCAUGCGCUUGAUUAGCUAGUUGGCGGGGUAAUGGCCCACCAAGGCGAUGAUCAAUAGGGGACCUGAGAGGGUGAUCCCCCACACUGGCACUGAGAUACGGGCCAGACUCCUACGGGAGGCAGCAGUAGGGAAUAUUGGGCAAUGGACGCAAGUCUGACCCAGCCAUGCCGCG
rnacentral:rRNA from 1 species